UACGUAGGGUCCGAGCGUUGUCCGGAGUUACUGGGCGUAAAGCGCGCGCAGGCGGCGGUGUUGGCCCGGCGUGAAAGCCCCCGGCUCAACCGGGGAGAGUCGUCGGGGACCGCACCGCUUGAGGGCGGUAGGGGCUGGUGGAGUGCCUGGUGUAGUGGUGAAAUGCGUAGAGAUCAGGCAGAACACCUGGGGCGAAGGCGGCCAGCUGGGCCGUCCCUGACGCUGAGGCGCGAAGGCGUGGGGAGCGAACGGG
rnacentral:rRNA from 1 species